AUGUACCUCUUCGAAGUCGGUGGUGGCUUAUGUAGUUUCAAUGGCGGUCGCUUUGGUAGUUUCAACGUUGGAGGCUCCGGUAAUCCAAUGGCGGUGGCUCUGAUGGUCUCAAUGGCGUUGACUGAUAUGAGAAUAUAUCAAGAGGUUUCAAUGGUGGUGGUCUCCAUGGUAGCACCAGCGGUUUUGGCGGUGGACCAGAAAAGAAUGACUUCAAAAUCCAAUCUGCUCCAUUUCUUUCUCCUAAAGUUGCUCUGA